AUGACCUUCAUCUCCAUCUUCAUCUGCACACUGGCUCUCUGCACUCAAGGAUCCAGAGGUCAGGUGACUGUGACUCAGAGUCCUGCAGUAAAACAUGUUGAUCCAGGAGCUUCAGUCACCAUCAACUGUAAAACCAGUCCUUCUAAUUAUGGUAGUUAUUUUUCCUGGUAUCAGCAGAAACCUGGAGAAGCUCCUAAACUCCUGAUCUACUACACUAACAGCAGAGCAUCAGGUAUUCCAGAUCGUUUCAGUGGCAGUGGAUCUGGAUCUGACUUCACUCUGACCAUCAGUAGAAUUGAGACUGGAGAUGCAGGAGAUUAUUACUGUCAGAGUUUACACUGGCCUGGAUCCCGUCAGGUCCUGACUUUUGGUGGAGGAACCAAACUCAGCAUCACCGGUCCCACGGUGAAGCCGUCCGUGUCUCUGCUCCCUCCCUCCUCUCUGCAGCUGUCUGAGGGAUCGGCCUCGCUGCUCUGCCUGCUGUCUGGUUACUCUCCACAGGGGGCAGAAGAACUGAAAGGGGGCAGUUGGAGGCGUGGCAGCACCCUGACCCUCAGCAAAGCACAGUGGGAAAAGGGGGAGGAGUUUGGCUGUAAGGUCUCUCACGGCGGCGUCGAUCAUCAUCCCGUCGUAUUCAGAAAGAACCAGUGUGAAGGCUAGCAGCUCCCAGAUAGAACUGAACAUGGAGACACUUCCACAUGCUUCUACAAUGGAGUUUCAGUUCUACACAAUGCUGCAUUUAUGUCUUUCCUCUGUUCAGUGUCCUGUUGCUCUUCCUGUAGUUCUG